CUGAAGAGGCUGGCCUGAGGGUCUGGCCCUUGGGCUGCCCAAAGACUACAGAGAAGGAGGUAUAGGAGGUAACCUGCCUAAUGCCAUCAGUUCUCUGGGCAGCAAUCCAGCAGGCCUGGGCCUGGAUCCUAUCCAGAGGGGACCCUGGGGCAAGGAGACAACAUCCCAGAAUGUGGAGUCUCCAGCAGCGCCAGAGACCUCCUGGUUUCAGACUUGGAAUUGCUGACUAACAGAUGAUUACAGCGGGCAAUGGACAUGAAGUUCUCUGACCACCCAGUCACUGCAAUGGAGUGAGAGGAGAGAUGUUACAUGACCUCUAGAAAGACCAGGACAUCUUUUUCCUUGACUGGCCUAUCUUAUCAUUUCUGAAAUGUCAUUUAAUUAACUUUUGAGUGACGCUGUUUGUUUUGUUGUUGUUGUUG
rnacentral:lncRNA from 1 species